AACGAACGCUGGCGGCAGGCCUAACACAUGCAAGUCGAGCGCCCUUUCGGGGGAGCGGCGGACGGGUGAGUAACGCGUGGGAAUAUGCUCUUCUCUACGGAAUAGCCUCGGGAAACUGAGAGUAAUACCGUAUACGCCCUGGGGGGGAAAGAUUUAUCGGGGAAGGAUUAGCCCGCGUUGGAUUAGGUAGUUGGUGGGAUAAUGGCCUACCAAGCCGACGAUCCAUAGCUGGUUUGAGAGGAUGAUCAGCCACACUGGGACUGAGACACGGCCCAGACUCCGACGGGAGGCAGAAGUGGGGAAUCUUAAACAAUGGGGGCAACCUGAUCUAGCCAUGCCGCGUGAGUAAUGAAGGCCUUAGGGUUGUAAAGCUCUUUCAGCUGGGAAGCUAAUGACGGUACCAGCAGAAGAAGCCCCGGCUAACUCCGUG
rnacentral:rRNA from 1 species